rnacentral:rRNA from 1 species
CCUACGGGAGGCAGCAGUGAGGAAUAUUGGUCAAUGGACGAGAGUCUGAACCAGCCAAGUAGCGUGAAGGAUGACUGCCCUAUGGGUUGUAAACUUCUUUUAUAUGGGAAUAAAAUGUUCCACGUGUGGGAUUUUGUAUGUACCAUAUGAAUAAGGAUCGGCUAACUCCGUGCCAUCCGCCGCGGUAAUACGGAGGAUCCGAGCGUUAUCCGGAUUGAUUUGGUUUAAAGGGAGCGUAGGUGGGAUGUCAAGUCAGGUGUGAAAUUUUGCGGCUCAACCUGAAAAUUGCAGUUGAAACUGGCAGUCUUGAGUAUAGGAGAGGUGGGCGGAAUUCGUGGUGUAGCGGUGAAAUGCUUAGAUAUCACGAAGAACUCCGAUUGCGAAGGCAGCUCACUGGACUGCAACUGACACUGAGGCUCGAAAGUGUGGGUAGCAAACAGGAUUAGAUACCCGGGUAGUC